rnacentral:lncRNA from 1 species
CUACUCUGGAUUACCUGCAAGUUACCCAUAGGAAGGGCAACAUUUCCAAGCAGAAGGGGUGAGAUUCACAAACAAUAAUAAUAGAUAUAUAAAUCAUCAACUGUAUUUAACAACUUAAUUAAAUAACAUAAUUAGCAACAUAUAUUCAACAAUAAUGUUCACACUUCUUCAACUUUAAUAACACUUACUAAUUCAACCAACAACGAUGACAACCACUCAAUCAACAACAACGACAACAACUCAAUCAACAACAACG